ensembl:lncRNA
AUCCCUUCUAGCCCUUGUGCCUGUGGCGUCGACCACAGAGCCUGUCUGCAGAGCAGAGAAGACUCUUAUUAAAAGCUGACGGAAGCGUUUGGAAUGAGGAGUUUAUUUUGACUGGUGAGCUGCAUCGACACACCCUCCUUCUUUGAAAAAUCUUCAGCUUCGAGGGUCUGGGUGUAGAAGAGCGAGUGCAGCCGACUGCAGACACAGAGGAUCUUCAUUGAAUCACUGGGAUCUUUCAGUGUGGCGCACAGACUCUCUAGCUGCAGCUCAUGGGCUCAGUAGUUACAGCACGCAGCCUUAGUUGCUCCUCGGCAUGUGGGAUCUCAGUUCUCCAACCAUGGAUGGAACCAGUGUCCCCUGCGUGGCAAGGCAGAUUCUUAACCACCAGACCACCAGGGAAGUCCCAAGUCAUCUAGUUUUUUGAGCACCUGCUGCUGCCGCCGCUGCUAAGUCACUUCAGUUGUGUCCGACUCUGUGUGACCCCAUAGAUGGCAGCCCACCAGGCUCCCCCGUCCCUGGGAUUCUCCAACCUACUCGAUGUUAAAUGUCAUACCAAAUACUGAGGAGGACAUAGACAAAUGUCAGAAAAAAACUAUCUUCAUUCAAUCCAUUUAUGAACCCACUGUCAACAUAGCCCCUAUACUAGUCUGUCACCUGCAAGGGACAGAUUCCCAAUUGAGGCUGACUUAAGAAUAAUUAUUCGUUUGUGCACCCCAUGGAGUCACAGAGGGGUUUGCUGAAGGAGAAAAGAUGCUACCUAGAAAAUAGAGAGAUGCCAGUGCUGGCUGUUACAAUCCACCACACCUCCUGACUGAUAACAGCAUUAAUCUCAUUCAUACAAACCACACCCAGAGUUCAUACAAAUACCACACAAACAAGAACGUCCUUUUCACACUGAAAAAAUGAUGAUACUUGAAUCUUCCAGGAAUUAAGUCAAAGCAGACUUAAAAAGCAGAUCCAUUGUUACCAAGGGAUCUUCCACAGGGAGCUGUGUUUCAGGGCCAUCACUCAGCCUAGUUCUAGAAACCUGGUGCCUUUGGUACCUAGAACAGAUGGAGAGGUGAGGACAGAAAUGUGCUCUUCUACUCCACCUCCCAUGCUGGGCAAGCCAGGCAUGCUGCCCUGCCUGGUAUGCGUGGUGCCAGAAAUGAGGUGUCCUUUUCCUGUCGACUAGCCCUCUAAACAGUAAGCUCUUGGCGGGCAGCAGGAGGGUCCACCCUGCUCACAAUUUACUGCGACGUUUCACAGGGUGGGGGCAGAGAAGUGAACAAAACAAAGUCCUUUCUCAGGGACCUUUUCUUCCCAUGGACUAAACAGGUAAACAUACAUCAGAUGUAAGAGGUGCUAAGAAGAAAGUGGAAAGGCAGGAAUAGUUCGCUCCAGGCUUCUCCUUCUCUGGGGUCCUGGAAACUCCAUCAGAGAGCUGUCCCGGUGGAAGAGGACCAAUGGGGUCCAGAGCUAAGACCCGCCCCCUGACUCCAGCCCUUUUGAAGAGCAGCAUUGGUUGGGGUGGAGGACAGGGGUUGCAGUCAGAACUCAGGUUUAAGCCAAGUAAAAUGAGAAGCUGUUGCAG